rnacentral:rRNA from 1 species
AGAGUUUGAUNNUGGCUCAGGACGAACGCUGGCGGCGUGCCUAAUACAUGCAAGUCGAGCGAGCGGAACUAACAGAUUUACUUCGGUAAUGACGUUAGGAAAGCGAGCGGCGGAUGGGUGAGUAACACGUGGGGAACCUGCCCCAUAGUCUGGGAUACCACUUGGAAACAGGUGCUAAUACCGGAUAAGAAAGCAGAUCGCAUGAUCAGCUUUUNAAAGGCGGCGUAAGCUGUCGCUAUGGGAUGGCCCCGCGGUGCAUUAGCUAGUUGGUAAGGUAAAGGCUUACCAAGGCGAUGAUGCAUAGCCGAGUUGAGAGACUGAUCGGCCACAUUGGGACUGAGACACGGCCCAAACUCCUACGGGAGGCAGCAGUAGGGAAUCUUCCACAAUGGACGCAAGUCUGAUGGAGCAACGCCGCGUGAGUGAAGAAGGUUUUCGGAUCGUAAAGCUCUGUUGUUGGUGAAGAAGGAUAGAGGUAGUAACUGGCCUUUAUUUGACGGUAAUCAACCAGAAAGUCACGGCUAACUACGUGCCAGCAGCCGCGGUAAUACGUAGGUGGCAAGCGUUGUCCGGAUUUAUUGGGCGUAAAGCGAGCGCAGGCGGAAGAAUAAGUCUGAUGUGAAAGCCCUCGGCUUAACCGAGGAACUGCAUCGGAAACUGUUUUUCUUGAGUGCAGAAGAGGAGAGUGGAACUCCAUGUGUAGCGGUGGAAUGCGUAGAUAUAUGGAAGAACACCAGUGGCGAAGGCGGCUCUCUGGUCUGCAACUGACGCUGAGGCUCGAAAGCAUGGGUAGCGAACAGGAUUAGAUACCCUGGUAGUCCAUGCCGUAAACGAUGAGUGCUAAGUGUUGGGAGGUUUCCGCCUCUCAGUGCUGCAGCUAACGCAUUAAGCACUCCGCCUGGGGAGUACGACCGCAAGGUUGAAACUCAAAGGAAUUGACGGGGGCCCGCACAAGCGGUGGAGCAUGUGGUUUAAUUCGAAGCAACGCGAAGAACCUUACCAGGUCUUGACAUCUAGUGCCAUUUGUAGAGAUACAAAGUUCCCUUCGGGGACGCUAAGACAGGUGGUGCAUGGCUGUCGUCAGCUCGUGUCGUGAGAUGUUGGGUUAAGUCCCGCAACGAGCGCAACCCUUGUUAUUAGUUGCCAGCAUUAAGUUGGGCACUCUAAUGAGACUGCCGGUGACAAACCGGAGGAAGGUGGGGAUGACGUCAAGUCAUCAUGCCCCUUAUGACCUGGGCUACACACGUGCUACAAUGGGCAGUACAACGAGAAGCGAGCCUGCGAAGGCAAGCGAAUCUCUGAAAGCUGUUCUCAGUUCGGACUGCAGUCUGCAACUCGACUGCACGAAGCUGGAAUCGCUAGUAAUCGCGGAUCAGCACGCCGCGGUGAAUACGUUCCCGGGCCUUGUACACACCGCCCGUCACACCAUGGGAGUCUGCAAUGCCCAAAGCCGGUGGCCUAACCUUCGGGAAGGAGCCGUCUAAGGCAGGGCAGAUGACUGGGGUGAAGUCGUAACAAGGUAGCCGUAGGAGAACCUGCGGCUGGAUCACCUCCUUU